rnacentral:sRNA from 1 species
AUUUUAAAAGGGUUUC